UAGGUGAUGCCAUCUAUUUAAAACAGAAUUUAAUCCAAUGGCUGAGAUUAGCAUACCCUUAAAUCCACGGGUCGAGAUUAGACUUACCUUUUGUAACCGACGCUAACGAAGCUUUGCGUCCGUAGUGAAACAUUGUGUCUGUUAAUGAAGUUGUGACCCAGGGUUCGAAGCUCUUCCUCUGUUUAUAUUUGAUAACCAAUUUGCUAUUCCUCCUUUUUCACUAGUCCUGAUUCUUGAUUCGUUUUUUAUAUUAUAGAAAUUGUAUCUCCCGUCAUCCACCAUUCACAAUUAUUGUGUUUGAUUAUUUGACAUUCUCGAUCAUUGGAGCUUUGUUUAUGAAGGUCCAUCAGACGAGAUUCCAACACCAAGAUUGAGGCUGAUGGUGUCUGUUUCAUCUGGUCUGAACCGAGGCUUGGUGUCAUGAUCGCUGCUAGACUUCAAAGUGGGGUCAUCGUGAUUGUGGUUACCGUCGUAUGUUGUUAUUACAGCUUUUGGAUCAUCUGAUGCCUCUCCACGUGUUUUGUCACUGGGCAUCCAGGGAAUGUGCACUUGUAGUAGCUCCUCCAAAAAGCCAAAGGAACAUUACAAAGGAUGAUAUCUCCCAUAUUCCAAACCCAGUUCCAAAGGGAAUCAAGACUUUAAGAAGAAAGAGGUUUGUGGUUAUACAAGUUUUGCUUGUGUAUGUUCACUUGAGAAGAAAGAGGUUUGUGGUUAUACGAACCUGGGAUUUGGUUUCCCCUUACGACUUUCUGCCCAUACUUGGGCCACAUAUAACCAUCAUACAGUAUGUCAACCUCACUCAGAGUUUGAAAAACAACCCGAGUCUCCCGAAUAUGAUUCACAAGUGUUGUUAUUUCCAUGGUGUCCCAUCCAGCCUCCUGCAAAAAGUUAUAAGAAAGUUUGAUCAUGCCAAAUCACUGUUUCAAGGCAAGCAUCAUCGUCCUGGUUCUCUUUAUUCUUAUCUGACACUGCAACUUCACCACCACAGUCAGUUGUCUUUUGGGAAUUGGAACUUUUCACGAAUGUACCUAUUGUUCGUCACUCUCGCAUUCUCAUUCGUCAGCAUUCACUUAAAUAUAUAACCAUUCACCAAA